rnacentral:rRNA from 1 species
AUUGAACGCUGGCGGCAGGCCUAACACAUGCAAGUCGAGCGAGCGGCGGACGGGUGAGUAAUGGAUGGGGAUCUGCCCGCUAGAGGGGGAUAACUACUGGAAACGGUGGCUACUACCGCAUACUAUCGGAUGACCCCAUAUGGGAUUAGCUAGUAGGUGGGGUAAAGGCUUACCUAGGCGCCGAUCUCUAGCUGGUCUGAGAGGAUGACCGGACACCAUGGGACUGAGACACGGCCCGGGCGCCUACGGGAGGCAGCAGUGGGGAAUAGUGCGCAAUGGGCGCAAGCCUGAUGCAGCCAGGCCGCGUGUGUGACGGAGGCCUUAGGGUUGUAAUGUACUUUCAGCGGGGAGGCGUUACCCGCAGAAGAAGCACCGGCUAACUCCGUGCCAGCAGCCGCGGUAAUAC